UUUAAAUGUGUAUAAGUCAUGGU
rnacentral:miRNA from 1 species